AGAGUUUGAUCCUGGCUCAGAUUGAACGCUGGCGGCAGGCCUAACACAUGCAAGUCGAACGGUAGCAGGAUGUGCUUGCACAUCGCUGACGAGUGGCGGACGGGUGAGUAAUGCUUGGGAACUUGCCUUUGCGAGGGGGAUAACAGUUGGAAACGACUGCUAAUACCGCGUAAUGUCUUCGGACCAAACGGGGCUUUUAGCUCCGGCGCAAAGAGAGGCCCAAGUGAGAUUAGCUAGUUGGUGAGGUAAAGGCUUACCAAGGCGACGAUCUCUAGCUGUUCUGAGAGGAAGAUCAGCCACACUGGGACUGAGACACGGCCCAGACUCCUACGGGAGGCAGCAGUGGGGAAUAUUGCACAAUGGGGGAAACCCUGAUGCAGCCAUGCCGCGUGUGUGAAGAAGGCCUUCGGGUUGUAAAGCACUUUCAGUUGUGAGGAAAGGUUGGUAGUUAAUACCUGCCAGCUGUGACGUUAACAACAGAAGAAGCACCGGCUAACUCCGUGCCAGCAGCCGCGGUAAUACGGAGGGUGCGAGCGUUAAUCGGAAUUACUGGGCGUAAAGCGCACGCAGGCGGUUUGUUAAGCUAGAUGUGAAAGCCCCGGGCUCAACCUGGGAUGGUCAUUUAGAACUGGCAGACUAGAGUCUUGGAGAGGGGAGUGGAAUUCCAGGUGUAGCGGUGAAAUGCGUAGAUAUCUGGAGGAACAUCAGUGGCGAAGGCGACUCCCUGGCCAAAGACUGACGCUCAUGUGCGAAAGUGUGGGUAGCGAACAGGAUUAGAUACCCUGGUAGUCCACACCGUAAACGCUGUCUACUAGCUGUUUGUGUAUUUAAUACGAGAGUAGCGAAGCUAACGCGCUAAGUAGACCGCCUGGGGAGUACGGCCGCAAGGUUAAAACUCAAAGGAAUUGACGG
rnacentral:rRNA from 1 species